AAACUCAAAGGAAUUGACGGGACCCGCACAAGCAGCGGAGCGUGUGGUUUAAUUCGUUGCUACACGAGAACCUUACCUGGGUUUGACAGUAUAGGUUGUAGGGAACUGAAAAGGACCGACCUUCGGGGAGCCUAUACAGGUGUUGCAUGGCUGUCGUCAGCUCGUGUCGUGAGAUGUUCGGUUAAGUCCGCUAACGAGCGCAACCCUCGUCGUAUGUUACAAGUGUCAUACGAGACUGCCGGUAAAAAGCCGGAGGAAGGUGAGGAUGAUGUCAAGUCAGCAUGACCUUUAUAUCCAGGGCUACACACACGCUACAAUGGUCUGUACAAUGGGUAGCCAAGCCGCGAGGCGGAGCCAAUCCUGAAAGCAGGCCUCAGUUCAGAUUGCAGUCUGCAACUCGACUGCAUGAAGCCGGAGUUGCUAGUAACCGCAGGUCAGCAAUACUGCGGUGAAUACGUUCCCGGGUCUU
rnacentral:rRNA from 1 species